rnacentral:rRNA from 1 species
GACGAACGCUGGCGGCGUGCUUAACACAUGCAAGUCGAACGGUGAAAGCGGAGCUUGCUCCGCUGGAUCAGUGGCGAACGGGUGAGUAACACGUGGGCAACCUGCCCCUGACUUCGGGAUAACUCCUCGAAAGAGGUGCUAAUACCGGCUACGAACCCUGCAUGCAUCUGCGGGCUUGGAAAGUUUUGCGGUCAGGGAUGGGCCCGCGGCCUAUCAGCUUGUUGGUGAGGUAGUGGCUCACCAAGGCGACGCCGGGUAGCCGGCCUGUGAGGGCGACCGGCCACACUGGGACUGAGACACGGCCCAGACUCCUACGGGAGGCAGCAGUGGGGAAUAUUGCGCAAUGGGCGAAAGCCUGACGCAGCAACGCCGCGUGAGGGAUGACGGCCUUCGGGUUGUAAACCUCUUUCAGCAGGGAAGAAGCGAAAGUGACGGUACCUGCAGAAGAAGCACCGGCUAACUACGUGCCAGCAGCCGCCGUAA